UUUAAUCGAAGCAACGCGAAGAACCUUACCGAGGCCUUGACAUGCGUAGGGAACCCGGGUGAAAGCCUGGGGUGCCCCGCGAGGGGAGCCCUAGCACAGGUGCUGCAUGGCCGUCGUCAGCUCGUGCCGUGAGGUGUUGGGUUAAGUCCCGCAACGAGCGCAACCCCCGCCGUUAGUUGCCAGCGGUUCGGCCGGGCACUCUAACGGGACUGCCCGCGAAAAGCGGGAGGAAGGAGGGGACGACGUCUGGUCAGCAUGGCCCUUACGGCCUGGGCGACACACGUGCUACAAUGCCCACUACAAAGCGAGGCCACCCGGCAACGGGGAGCUAAUCGCAAAAAGGUGGGCCCAGUUCGGAUUGGGGUCUGCAACCCGACCCCAUGAAGCCGGAAUCGCUAGUAAUCGCGGAUCAGCCAUGCCGCGGUGAAUACGUUCCCGGGCCUU
rnacentral:rRNA from 1 species